rnacentral:tRNA from 1 species
AGAUACUAGUUAAAAAAGAAUAACAAUGCCUUGUCAAGGCUUAAUUGCCCAACGGUGUAUUUCC